rnacentral:piRNA from 1 species
UACAGGACCAACAGGUUCACAUGCUUGCUGU